rnacentral:rRNA from 1 species
GACAGAGGGGGCAAGCGUUGCUCGGAAUCACUGGGCGUAAAGGGCGCGUAGGCGGGAGCUCAAGUCGGUCGUGAAAUCUCCGGGCUCAACCCGGAGGAGUCGGCCGAAACUGGGUUUCUUGAGGGAGGCAGAGGAGUCUGGAAUUCCCGGUGUAGCGGUGAAAUGUGUAGAGAUCGGGAGGAACACCGGUGGCGAAGGCGGGACUCUGGGCCUACCCUGACGCUGAGGCGCGAAGGCGUGGGGAGCAAACGGG